rnacentral:rRNA from 1 species
CCUACGGGCGGCUGCAGUGGGGAAUAUUGGACAAUGGGGGCAACCCUGAUCCAGCCAUGCCGCGUGUGUGAAGAAGGCCCUCGGGUUGUAAAGCACUUUCAGUGAGGAAGAACGCCUGGUGGUUAAUACCCAUCAGGAAAAACAUCACUCACAGAAGAAGCACCGGCUAACUCCGUGCCAGCAGCCGCGGUAAUACGGAGGGUGCGAGCGUUAAUCGGAAUUACUGGGCGUAAAGCGCGCGUAGGUGGCUUGAUAAGCCGGUUGUGAAAGCCCCGGGCUCAACCUGGGAACGGCAUCCGGAACUGUCAAGCUAGAGUGCAGGAGAGGAAGGUAGAAUUCCCGGUGUAGCGGUGAAAUGCGUAGAGAUCGGGAGGAAUACCAGUGGCGAAGGCGGCCUUCUGGACUGACACUGACACUGAGGUGCGAAAGCGUGGGUAGCAAACAGGAUUAGAUACCCUGGUAGUC